AUUGAACGCUGGCGGCAUGCCUUACACAUGCAAGUCGAACGGCAGCACGGGAGCAAUCCUGGUGGCGAGUGGCGAACGGGUGAGUAAUAUAUCGGAACGUGCCCAGUCGUGGGGGGUAACGCAGCGAAAGCUGUGCUAAUACCGCAUACGAUCUAUGGAUGAAAGCGGGGGAUCGCAAGACCUCGCGCGAUUGGAGCGGCCGAUAUCAGAUUAGCUAGUUGGUGAGGUAAAGGCUCACCAAGGCGACGAUCUGUAGCUGGUCUGAGAGGACGACCAGCCACAAUGGAACUGAGACACGGUCCAGACUCCUACGGGAGGGAGCAGUGGGGAAUUUUGGACAAUGGGCGAAAGCCUGAUCCAGCAAUGCCGCGUGCAGGAUGAAGGCCUUCGGGUUGUAAACUGCUUUUGUACGGAACGAAACGGGAGCUCUAAUACAGUUUGCUAAUGACGGUACCGUAAGAAUAAGCACCGGCUAACUACGUGCCAGCAGCCGCCGUAA
rnacentral:rRNA from 1 species